GUCGCAUUGGCGCCUGUAUUAGGCGCAAUUUCACGCCCUGUAUUCUGUUCAGUCUCUUUUGGAAGAAUGCAAAGGAGCAACUUUUUGUAAUUACUCUCAGUUAUGUGAAACAAACAUUCAAUGUCCAGCUUUAUCAGGAGAUUGUGACAUAGAUGACAGAAGCAUGUAGCCGCAGUGAAUUGGAAUGCCCAGCUGUUG